UACGUAGGGAGCAAGCGUUGUCCGGAUUUAUUGGGCGUAAAGAGCUCGUAGGCGGCUUAGCAAGUCGGGUGUGAAAACUCCAGGCUCAACCUGGAGACGCCACUCGAGACUGCUAUGGCUAGAGUCCGGUAGGGGACCACGGAAUUCCUGGUGUAGCGGUGAAAUGCGCAGAUAUCAGGAGGAACACCGGUGGCGAAGGCGGUGGUCUGGGCCGGCACUGACGCUGAGGAGCGAAAGCGUGGGGAGCAAACAGG
rnacentral:rRNA from 1 species